AAACAUCGAUGAGAGAGAAACAUCGAUCAGCUGCCUCCCGCACAUCCCCCACCGGGAAUGUGCCUGCAACCAAGGUACAUGCCCUUGACUGGAAUCGAACCUGGGACCCUUGAGUCCGCAGGCUGAUACUCUAUCCACUGAGCCAAACGGGUUAGGGCGAGACCAAUCUUUUUAUUUUUAUUAUUUAGUUUUUUUAAAAUAUAUUUUAUUGAUUUUUUUACAGAGAGGAAGGGAGAGAGAUAGAGAGUUAGAAACAUCGAUGAGAGAGAAACAUCGAUCAGCUGCCUCCUGCACAUCUCCUACUGGGGAUGUGCCCGCAACCCAGGUACAUGCCCUUGACCGGAAUCGAACCUGGGACCCUUCAGUCCGCAGGCCGACGCUCUAUCCACUGAGCCAAACUGGUUUCUGCAAGAGACCAAUCUUUUAAAAAUGCAAAUUCCAUCCCAACACCUUUUCUUAAAAAAUAAAUAAAUAAAUAAAAAUUCCUGAAAUGCUGAGUCAGGACUAGAACAUUCCCUUUCACAGGGUAUAUAAAGUCCUCCCCAACAUGCCCCAAGGAUCUCUCCAGCCCCUUCCAUACCUGCCAGCCCAGCAUGGUGUGCUUUCAUCUCUGACCUUUGCAUAUGGUGAUUCUCUACCUCAGAUAUCCUCAAAACUGUCUCCAUAUGUACCACCAUUUCCCUUUACUUGCCUAAUCCUUCCCCUUCACCUCUUUGCUCAAGUAUAUCUGGGCUGCUUCCUCUCCAGGUUGGGUAUCGACCUCAGAUGACAUUGUACUGUCCCAUUGCAAAGGCUGUGACCUCUUUCCUAUUGGUCAAUGAACAACAAGAGAACUAUCCCCUAUCCUUGUACCUCAGGUGCAUAGGGCCUUGCCUGUCAUGUUGAUGGUGUUCAGAUGACAUGACUGGUCCACCUGGAGCUGAGAGCUUACUUAACAAGUGCUAGUGCAAUCUUAAUUCUGCCAACAGUGGCUGAAACACACAGCGCCACCUGGAGGGCAUGAGUCAGGUUGUGCACCAGGGCACCCAAUCCCAAAGGUGGUCCAAGGAUCUCCUUCAAGGAGAAUUUGGAAGAAGGUAAUAUAGCUAUGUUCUUAUUCUUAAAAGACUCUUUAAUUAGACUGAAUGGUAGAACGCUUUAAAAAGCACAAUUGGUUCCCCUUUUCAUCUUUUAUUUCCUUAGGGAGAAAAAAGGAUCCUGGUGGUUGACAUGUGGGAGGCAGAGCCAUGAGUUCCACAGGAGGAUCUAUAUAUAGCUCUGUGAUCAACAGCUUUGCUUCCUUGCCUCCUCAGCAGCUGGAGACAGGCUGUUGCUUCCAGAUGUGGGAUGGAGAAGGUGCAUGCAGGCAAACUUACACAUGCCUGGUGUGCAGCAAGAGGCUCCACAAACAUUUGCCCAAUAUGCUUCUCCUGAAGACAAUCUCAUGUUUAUUAGCAUAAGCUCUGGAAGUUGGGACUAGCAAAUUGAAGAGUCACUUAUGAGCUGAGUGACAGACCCAGCCCAGGCCCCAGAACUUUGAUCCAACCUCAACCUGAGCCAGCACCAGAAUGUAUAACCACUCCUUAACAGCCCCUCCUGGGAACUGACUGACAGCAAGAGAAGACAUUUCCUGUUCAACUGUCCCAUCACACCAGCUGCUCAUCCCACUCCCCCAUUCCAGGUUCUGUUUAGUCUUGCAUACCCCUCCAUAUAAAAGAAACCCUCUUUCCAUCUGCCCUUUGAGAGGCUUACAAAGCUUAUGACUGGAGUGUUCUUGCCAUUGCAUUAGACCUCCUACUGUAACAGACCCCUUCUCUUACGCAAUAAUCCUUCUGAGUAAAGUCUCUCCUUACCUAAGUCCAGAUUUGUUUUUAACACAAGAAUGUAUGGAAACCCACCCAGUUCUACCUUGAUUCAUUUUUCCAGACAAGAAACAAAAAAAACUGACCACCAAAGACUGAAGGGCAUCAAUACUGACCACAGUAUGGAUGAUGGUGAUAACGGUGGCUAGUCUCUUCAUAUAGAAGUUUCUGGCUACUCUGCUGCUUCCCUACUGUUAUAUAAUAAAGAUUUUGGCUGGUCUUUGUUGCCAGUUCCUAAAUGGGAACCUCUAAAUCCUUAGAAUUUCCCCAGUGAUAGGGCUGUUUUUGUUAUUCAUGGUGAACCCUGAGAUCACACCUAAGUUUAUGUUUAACAAGGUAACUCAUGGUGGGCCCUAGAGUUUCAGAAUGGGGCUGGCCAUACCAGAAAGACCAACCAGGAGAUGAGAGAACUGGAGUACUGAGACACCUGAUAACACUAUAGCCUCCUAGGGUGGGAGGAGGAGACGAAGACUGAGUUCAAUCAUAUCAUGUGAACUAUGAGUCAAUCAACCAUUUUAUUAAUAAAAACCCAAUAACUCUGGACCCUGAAGCGCAGGUCAGCUUCUUGGUUGGUGCUGAAAGGGUGAUGCAUCCUCGGGACGUGCAAACAUCAAGUUUGGGACUCUCCCAGACCUCGCCCUAUGUGUCCCUUCUUUUAGCUGGUCUUAACUCCUAUCUCCACCCCCCACCCCAAAAUAUAUUUUUAUUGAUUUCAGAGAGGAAGGGAGAGGGAGAGAGAGAUAGAAACAUCAAUGAUGUGAGAGAAUCACUGAUCAGUUGCCUCCCAUGACUAGGGAUCAAGCCCACAACCCAGGCAUGUGCCCUGACCAGAAUGGAAUCUGGGACCCUUCAGGCCGCAGGCAAUGCUCUAUCCACUGAGCCAAACCAGCUAGGGCCUAACUGGUAUUUUUUAAAAGGUAAAAGGUAAUUGUAACUACGGUGCUUUCCUAUCAGUUGUUCUGGUGAAUUAUUGAACAUGAGUGGCAACUCCCUGGGUUUGUAGUCAGUGGGUCAGAAGUAUGAGUGCCUUGGGGCCCCUGAGCUUGUGGCUAGCAUCUGAGGUGAGGGCAGUUUGUGAGGGCAGUGCCCUUAUUCUGUGAAGUUUUGCCUAACUCUAGGUUGUUAUUGUCUGAUAACUGAAAAUGUUUGUACCACAAACCACCCAUCCUCCAUACCUCAGAUCAUACACGGAUCUACAAGCAGGGCCAUGGGGACGGGAUGGAAGAGCAUGUGGUCAGCACUGAGCACCCACUGGCCUAUGGAAACACCACUCCUGCUAAAGCUUCCUGCUACGCAUGAGCCAAAGUGAAACCAGAAGUCUUCCUAACUAGGAAAAAACAUGGGUCAAUAGUGUUACCUGAGGGAGUCUGGCCACUUGUCCUCUGAAAUACUGCUUAGCAGCUCCUGGAAUGAUCUAAAGAGUUCCACUUUGCUGAUUCGAGAUCUGUUUGGAAAAAGACAAAAAGGACUCAUUAAGUGUUUGCUACAUAUCAGAUCCCUAUCAAAGAUGCAAGGCUUCACAAUGGUAUUUAGGUUUGCAUGUGCCAGAGCCCCAUUUCACCUGUACUGGCAAGGAGAAAAUCUAGACCUGAGGCUUUGAUUAGGUCGAGGCACAAAAAUGAAUCACAUCUUUAGAAAUGUCACCAGCAGUGAAAUCAUCAAGGGACAGGUUCCAAUGGGGUAAAGGCAGAGGUGAAAUUACCAAAUUCCCCCCAGAACACCCUCCAUAACACAUUGGCUACCUCCUUUCAAGAAAGCUGGCCCCUUGGGUAACAUUGUUUACAAGAAAUUAAAAGCUUUGUUUCAGAACCUUGAGUGCUGCUCCUUGUAUGGGGUCCACUUGGAUGAGCCUUCUGAGGCAGAGUCUCCAGACUCUCCCUUUGGGCACACGUGCCAUUGCAGGCCAACCCAUUGCUUCUAACAUCAAGCUUUAGGGAGGUCAUCAUUUGAACAGUGAAGGACGUGAGUGUGGAUUCCUUACCAGCUCACCUGGGGCUUCUUGGUUUGGCUCAUCCACGUCGGUGUGUACUAGACUGUAUGUACCUCCUUCCUUUCCCUCAUAAACACAAUUCAUGAGCUGAUUUAGAAGUUGGGAACUGUUGCCUGUGCCCACAAUGUGUGUCUCGUGUCUACACACUGUAUCCUCCACUGUUUCCACAAACGGUACCAUCAGCUUGGACACAGUGACCAUAUUGGAACAUAUGAUAUAGGGGAUUGUACAAUCUGUCAAGAGACUCCCUUACCUGGCUGGGACCUGGCCUACUGAAAAGAAUCAUGGCUUAAAGCAGAACCUUGAGCCCUCACAGGCUGCUUUCCCUGGGCCUUAAUUGUGGUAAGGCACUCAGGAAUAUAAAGCUGCUUUAACAUUAAAAAAAAACUCCAAAGCCAAAAAAAUAAUGGAACUCACCUCAUUAACAG